rnacentral:lncRNA from 1 species
UCAUGUUACCAUUCUCUUAUGAUUUUGUCUGAGUUCAUCAACCACGUCCGGUCCACAUCCUUUAUAAUGUUAUCUAUUUCAACAUAUGUAAACAUCACCUCAUUCCACCCAAAGUCCCACAUACAGUUAACAUUUGGAUUUGUAAUUUUGAUGUUUCUCUCGAGCAUUUUGAGCAGGUUUUCAGUAGCAUCACUACAUAUUCAAACUACCAAAACAACCAUCAUUUCAUACCCAAAAUCAUCAUAACCAUGUAUAAUUAGUUAGUUUUACAAAAUACGGAACACAAAAAAUACACACAUGCAGAAAUUAAUACAUACUCAAUCAUCAACACAUAUCUAACCACCAAAACAGCAAGCUAGUCGCUACUGAUUUUAAAUUUUUUUGGCAAAGUUUCAUUUAAAAAUAGAUAUCCAAAC